rnacentral:rRNA from 1 species
GAUGAACGCUAGCGGCAGGCUUAACACAUGCAAGUCGAGGGGUAGAAGGAGCUUGCUCCUUUGAGACCGGCGCACGGGUGCGUAACGCGUAUGCAAUCUACCUUUUGCAGAGGGAUAGCCCAGAGAAAUUUGGAUUAAUACCUCAUAGUAUGUGAGGAUGGCAUCAUUUUCACAUUAAAGUCACAACGGCAAAAGAUGAGCAUGCGUCCCAUUAGCUAGUUGGUAAGGUAACGGCUUACCAAGGCUACGAUGGGUAGGGGUCCUGAGAGGGAGAUCCCCCANACUGGUACUGAGACACGGACCAGACUCCUACGGGAGGCAGCAGUGAGGAAUAUUGGACAAUGGGCGCAAGCCUGAUCCAGCCAUGCCGCGUUGCAGGAUGACGGUCCUAUGGAUUGUAAACUGCUUUUGUACAGGAAGAAACACUACUUCGUGAAGUAGCUUGACGGUACUGUAAGAAUAAGGAUCGGCUAACUCCGUG